rnacentral:sRNA from 1 species
AAUUGACAUUUGUGAGACAAAUUUGACUUUUGUGAGACAAAAUUGACAAAAUUGAGUUUUGUCUCACAAAAGAUAAUUUUGUUUCACAAAUUUGAA